GGCGUUCGGCGAGGCAGAGGGAGGCCUAAGAAGUAUUGGAGAGAGGUGAUUAGGCAUGACAUGGCUAGAAUGCGGGUUUCCGAGGACUUGACCCUUGAUAGGAAAGUCUGGAGGUCUAGUAUAAGGGUUGUAGGAUAGGGGGCUCUAGAGUUUUUCGUACUCCUUACCCAGGGUUGGGUGAGGCUUAGCAGGGCUAUCCAUAGAUGAUUUGUGUAUUGGAUUGUGUCUCCCUUAUUAUUGCAUGCUAUUUAUGGAAGUUACUGUUUGAUAUCAUUGCAUGUUAUUUUAUUUAUGGUUCUUAUGUUUAUAUAAUUAUUUAUGCUAUUUCUGCUGAAGC
rnacentral:lncRNA from 1 species